AAACGGGUGCGGAACACGUACACAACCUCCCGAUAAGGUGGGAAUAGCCCAGAGAAUUGGAUUAACUACCCCGUAACAUUGCGAUGUGGCAUCACAUUGCAAUUAUAGCUUCGGCGCUUAUUGAUGGGUGUGCGUAUGAUUAGAUAGUUGGCGGGGUAACGGCCCACCAAGUCUACGAUCAUUAGCUGAUGUGAGAGCAUGAUCAGCCACACGGGCACUGAGACACGGGCCCGACUCCUACGGGAGGCAGCAGUAAGGAAUAUUGGUCAAUGGAACGAAAGUCUGAACCAGCUAUGCCGCGUGAAGGAUUAAGGUCCUCUGGAUUGUAAACUUCUUUUAUAUGGGACGAAAAAAGGUCUUUCUAGAUCACUUGACGGUACCAUAUGAAUAAGCACCGGCUAACUCCGUG
rnacentral:rRNA from 1 species